rnacentral:rRNA from 1 species
UACGGGGGGGGCAAGCGUUGUUCGGAAUUACUGGGCGUAAAGGGCGCGUAGGCGGCCCUCUAAGUCGAACGUGAAAUCCCCGGGCUCAACCCGGGAACUGCGUCCGAUACUGGAGGGCUCGAAUCCGGGAGAGGGAUGUGGAAUUCCAGGUGUAGCGGUGAAAUGCGUAGAUAUCUGGAGGAACACCGGUGGCGAAGGCGGCAUCCUGGACCGGUAUUGACGCUGAGGCGCGAAAGCCAGGGGAGCAAACGGG